ensembl:lncRNA novel transcript
UCUUCUCCAUCCUGAAGAAAACAGACAUCUGGUCCCAAGCCCACAAGGAAGAAGCUGAAUUGCAAAAAUAAGUGUAUCACAAACCAGACCCAAAGAGCUCUCUGCAGGAUCUUCUAAAACCUCAGACACUGCAGAAGGAAGAGUUGAUAACUGUGCAACCCACUGACCUUUCUGCCAGGGAGUUUGUGGUUUACCAGUAUGGCCUCUCCAUCCUGCACCUCCUUAUCCCCCAGCUUCAUGCUCCAGAAAUCACCCUGAAGAUUUCUUCUCAUCUUCCUGCCAUGGAAGCCCAAGGCAGUGCCUUCCAAGGUGCCUUCUUCUACCAGUGCUGAAAACACACUGUUCAUUGGGAGAGAAUGUUUGGCCUCUGUGGGAAGCUUUGUUCUGCUGCUGAUCCGCUGCCUGGCCCACAUCACUGCUGGGGAACCCCACCAGGACUCCAGCCCUGCCUUUCUGGGGUCAUUUUACAAGGGCCUGGAGGCCUAUUUCAGGGAAGCAUUCCCUAUCACACUGAGAAUGGCAGCAGUUUCCAGGGACAGUAAACUUGACCAAAGCAUAAGUGCUAUCCUGCUGGAAGAGCAGCCCAUCUCUGACAGAGAAAGGGAUCUUCUGUCUAAACUCAUUGAAAUGAAGCAUGUAUCUCCCUUGGAGCCAGAAUCACUAGAAGAGUAUAUUCAUAAAAACAAAGAUCUUCUGCUCUUCACCAGUAUGGAACAUUUCCUAAAAAGCAUCCUCGCUGCAGAACAACAAAUCCUAAGAAAACCAAGAAAUCAAUUUGGGAGUGAAGAUAAGAUCUAGAAAGAAAAUGGUAAUCUCAUUUCAGUCUGCAUUAUUAAAAGGUCUUAAAUACAUCACUACAACAUCUGAUGAAGCUGAUAAGAAUUAUUGGAAAAUCUAUAAUAUUCAUGGUAAAACACAUAAAUGUGUAUCAUAGUUUUAAGUGUAUAUAUAAUAGGGGCUAAUAUUUGCCACAGAGGUUGAGGACCCCUGCUCACUGUGACUAAAAUUUUCAGUGUGACUAAAAGAUCAUUAGAUCACGUAUCUUAUUAAAAUAUGUAUUAAAGAUAUUGACUAAAACUUUCUGGGAAUGU